CGUGACGUAGCUCAGUUGGUUAGAGCGGCGGACUCAUAAUCCGCAGGUCAUUGGUUCAAGUCCAAUCGUCACGACCA
rnacentral:tRNA from 1 species